CACAUACGAAAAGGCCCACGGCCACUACCUUAAAGCAAAAAGAGGAGAGAAGCUGGAGACAGAUGAGGAGACCAUGAAAAGAAAAAGAAAGCCAAACAUGAAAUUCAUCCAAUCCAGUGAUGAAGAAGAUGACCGUCCCUAUUUCCCUCCGGCUCCAAAAAUUCGGCGACUGCCAGAGAAAAUUUCUGUACCAAAUUCAGAGUUUACCAGUCAGGCACCACAGGUCCCAACCACCACCACCCUGCCUCUACCACCACCACCACAACUCCCACCUCUACCACC